GACGAACGCUGGCGGCGUGCUUAACACAUGCAAGUCGAACGGAAAGGCCCUGCUUUUGUGGGGUGCUCGAGUGGCGAACGGGUGAGUAACACGUGAGUAACCUGCCCUUGACUUUGGGAUAACUUCAGGAAACUGGGGCUAAUACCGGAUAGGAGCUCCUGCUGCAUGGUGGGGGUUGGAAAGUUUCGGCGGUUGGGGAUGGACUCGCGGCUUAUCAGCUUGUUGGUGGGGUAGUGGCUUACCAAGGCUUUGACGGGUAGCCGGCCUGAGGGGGUGACCGGCCACAUUGGGACUGAGAUACGGCCCAGACUCCUACGGGAGGCAGCAGUGGGGAAUAUUGCACAAUGGGCGGAAGCCUGAUGCAGCAACGCCGCGUGCGGGAUGACGGCCUUCGGGUGGUAAACCGCUUUCGCCUGUGACGAAGCGUGAGUGACGGUAAUGGGUAAAGAAACACCGGCUAACUACGU
rnacentral:rRNA from 1 species